GGGCAGGUGGCGAAACUGGCAGACGCAGAGGUCUUAAACACCUUUGAGGGAAACCUCGUGUGGGUUCGACUCCCACCCUGCCCA
rnacentral:tRNA from 1 species